CCUACGGGUGGCAGCAGUGGGGGAUAUUGCACAAUGGGGGAAACCCUGAUGCAGCGACGCCGCGUGUGGGAAGACGGUCCUCUGGAUUGUAAACCACUGUCCCCAGGGACGAAGAUGACGGUACCUGGGGAGGAAGCUCCGGCUAACUACGUGCCAGCAGCCGCGGUACUACGUAGGGAGCGAGCGUUGUCCGGAAUUACUGGGUGUAAAGGGAGCGUAGGCGGGACUGCAAGUUGGGUGUCAAAUCUACCGGCUCAACCGGUAGCCGCACUCAAAACUGCAGUUUUUGAGUGAAGUAGAGGCAGGCGGAAUUCCUAGUGUAGCGGUGAAAUGCGUAGAUAUUAGGAGGAACACCAGUGGCGAAGGCGGCCUGCUGGGCUUUUACUGACGCUGAGGCUCGAAAGUGUGGGGAGCAAACAGGAUUAGAUACCCUAGUAGUC
rnacentral:rRNA from 1 species